rnacentral:lncRNA from 1 species
AGAAGAAGAAAUAGCACCAAGCUUAUCUCCGGCUCAGUACUAUCACAGUCUGGCAUUUUCUUCCUCUCUUCCAUCCUCCUUAUACUACCCCGAGAUACCAAUUCCUAUAUUAUGGAUGAUAACUACUUUUCUUAACUAUUCAUCCAUUCUACCUGCUGAACCACCUUUUCAACAAUUAUUUAUCCUUAUUUAUACUAUACACUAGGUAUCUACAUUCUAAAAAUAACUACUUAUUUUACAUAGCUCCACUCCUAAUUAAAUAGCAUCUUCGUAAACACAAUAUUGAUAAACAAAAACCAAUCUUUCUUUUUUU